rnacentral:rRNA from 1 species
GACGAACGCUGGCGGCGUGCCUAAUACAUGCAAGUCGAACGCAUUUUCUUUCACCUUAGCUUGCUACACCUAAAGAAAAUGAGUUGCGAACGGGUGAGUAACACGUGGUUAACCUGCCCAUCAGCGGGGGAUAACACUUGGAAACAGGUGCUAAUACCGCAUAAUUCCAUUUACUGCAUGGUAGAUGGGUGAAAGGCGCUUUUGCGUCACUGAUCGAUGGACCCUCGGUGCAUUGGCUAGUUGGUGGGGUAACGGCCUACCAAGGCUGCGAUGCAUAGCCGGACCGGGAGGGGGGUCGGCCCCACUGGGAAUGAGACACGGCCCAGAAUCCUGAGGGAGGCAGCAGGAGGGAAUCUUCGGCCAUGGACGCAAGUCUGACCGGGCCAAGCCGGGUGAGUGAAGAAGGGUUUCGGAUCGUAAAACUCCGUUGUUAGAAAAGAAACAGGAUGAGAGUGGACAGUUCAUCCCUUGACGGUACCUAACCAGAAAGCCACGGCUAACUACGUG